AGCAUAGCUGUGCAGGUACUCUGCAGAUGUGCUUAAUUAACUAAGAAAGGAUUCUGGCUAUCUCAGAGAGAUUCCUUUCCUCUUUCUCAGUCACUCAGUGCAACAUGGGAGUGCCACUGAACACAAUGCAACUUACCUGGAAGUAACUGAACAAUAGGAUUUACCUCCAAAUAGACAGGCACACAUCCUAUAAUAUGGCACUGAGAGAUGAGCCGAGCUUAUGCUGAUGCCAUGAGACCCAAGAGACAUUGAAUGAGUUGAGCCAGCUGAGAAGGAUGUUGUUGGAAUUCGUGCAUCAGAUCCCUGAUGCUCUUUGGAAGUCAUGUGAUGGCGUCCAAAUUUCAUUGAAGUGGCGCAGUCAAUGACCACUGAGUUAAGAGCAAGGUGUUUUAGCAGGCUUAGUGCUUCAAAGAACUAAUAUAAAGCAGGAAUUAAUGUACUUGUCAGAUCCAGGCAGCAAAUCAACAGUGGGAUCCAGAAGUGUUUUAUAAAUAAUGGUGAUGCCAUCUUUUUCAGCUGCAGUCACUCUAUCAAAGGUCAAACUCAGAACAGGAUUUAAAGGAGACCUGAAAAAUGGAAACAUCAUCAAAUAUGACAUUUGGGGGGCGGGGGAGAGAUCAAACAGUUGCAAAACCAGUAAUUAUUUGUAUAUAAAGUAGUGAACAUAAGAAAUGAAGUUGUUAAGAAUGAAUUCAGGAAUGAGACAUUCAAAUCUAUACAGAAUUCUGUUUGCUGGUAAGAAAAUUAGUAUCUAGCAGCGAGUGCCUUGUUGCAGUUCAGGUAUUUUCACCUUGGGAAUUAAUUCUCACCACAGCUAGCUUGUCAACUUUAUUAACUUAUAAGUUAUGGACAGCAAGGAAAUUGAAUUAUUCCUGAAAUACUGGCUCAUCUCCAAGCAGAAUGGUUGAGAAACAAAGAAACAGAACUAUAAUCAGCUUCCAUGUGAUCAUCUACAAAAGAACAAAUUCAAUUGCAAGUUAAGCGAAGAAUAACUACGGGCAUGUUCCCACAUAUGCUGUGAAUGACAGAGCUAAAGACAGAAAAUAAGAAUUCUUCCUUUCGGAAGCAGAAAGCUUGGUAGGAGAAUUCUGUUUCAGUAUCACUCCUGCAACGCUACAGAUCCUACUUACCUCCUCAGCCUCACACCACCAUUCAUUGCAGCACAGACAGGCUGAGCAGAGCGUGUGGUAGAAUCUGUGAGGGUCAGAUGUGUCAGAUAAGAUUCAAUGCAACUCUAACUUUUAGUUUUCCACCAACACAAGCAU